GACGAACGCUGGCGGCGUGCUUAACACAUGCAAGUCGAACGGAAAGGCCCUGCGUUUGUGGGGUGCUCGAGUGGCGAACGGGGGAGUAACAGGAGAGUAACCUGCCCUUGACUUUGGGAUAACUUCAGGAAACUGGGGCUAAUACCGGAUAGGAGCUCCUGCUGCGUGGUGGGGGUUGGAAAGUUUCGGCGGUUGGGGAUGGACUCGCGGCUUAUCAGCUUGUUGGUGGGGUAGUGGCUGACCAAGGCUUUGACGGGUAGCCGGCCUGAGAGGGUGACCGGCCACAUUGGGACUGAGAUACGGCCCAGACUCCUACGGGAGGCAGCAGUGGCGAAUAUUGCCCAAUGGGCGGAAGCCUGAUGCAGCAACGCCGCGUACGGGAUGACGGCCUUCGGGUUGUAAACCGCUUUCGCCUGUGACGAAGCGUGAGUGACGGUAAUGGGUAAAGAAGCACCGGCUAACUACGUG
rnacentral:rRNA from 1 species